rnacentral:rRNA from 1 species
GAAAUUAAUCUCCCCGUGAAGAAGCGGGGAUACUCAUAUAAGACGAGAAGACCCCAUGGAGCUUCAAACCCAACUACACCCCUAGCUCUUAUAGCCCCACAACCCCCCUAGGCGCCGUGUGCUUGGUUUUAGGUUGGGGCGACCGCGGAGUACAAUAAAACCUCCACAAUGAAUGGGAACACCCCCUUAUCUGAGGGCCACACCCCCUAAGAAUUAGAACACUAACAUAAAAUGAUCCAUUACUUGAUCAAUGAACCAAGUUACCCUGGGGAUAACAGCGCAAUCCAUUUCAAGAGCCCCUAUCGACAAAUGGGUUUACGACCUCGAUGUUGGAUCAGGGUACCCCAGUGGUGCAGCAGCUACUAACGGUUCGUUUGUUCAACGAUUAAAACCCU